CUGAAAUUUAUUUAGCAAUUUCGAAACUCACCUCAAACCUGGAAGUUGAACAUGUAUUAUGAAAUCCACAACAGCCUUGGAAACACAGCAUAUAAUUGGUCAAUAGGUUGCUAGUGGUGGCAGUUCAGUCAAUCAGAGAUUUUAUUUCCAAAACACGCGAAAUUGCCCGCAAACUUGACAAUCAACUUGCUAACUUUGCAACGAAAUUCGAAAUUACGUUAACAAAGUUUUGUGAAAUUAACU